rnacentral:rRNA from 1 species
AGAUGGCGACCGGCGCACGGGUGAGUAACACGUAUCCAACCUACCGAUAACUCCGGAAUAGCCUUUCGAAAGAAAGAUUAAUACCGGAUAGUAUACGAAUAUCGCAUGAUAUUUUUAUUAAAGAAUUUCGGUUAUCGAUGGGGAUGCGUUCCAUUAGUUUGUUGGCGGGGUAACGGCCCACCAAGACUACGAUGGAUAGGGGUUCUGAGAGGAAGGUCCCCCACAUUGGAACUGAGACACGGUCCAAACUCCUACGGGAGGCAGCAGUGAGGAAUAUUGGUCAAUGGGCGAGAGCCUGAACCAGCCAAGUAGCGUGAAGGAUGAAGGCUCUAUGGGUCGUAAACUUCUUUUAUAUGGGAAUAAAGUUUUCCACGUGUGGAAUUUUGUAUGUACCAUAUGAAUAAGGAUCGGCUAACUCCGUGCCAGCAGCCGCGGUAAUACGGAGGAUCCGAGCGUUAUCCGGAUUUAUUGGGUUUAAAGGGAGCGUAGGUGGAUUGUUAAGUCAGUUGUGAAAGUUUGCGGCUCAACCGUAAAAUUGCAGUUGAAACUGGCAGUCUUGAGUACAGUAGAGGUGGGCGGAAUUCGUGGUGUAGCGGUGAAAUGCUUAGAUAUCACGAAGAACUCCGAUU